rnacentral:rRNA from 1 species
UUAAGUCCCGUAACGAGCGCAACCCUUGUCCUUAGUUACCAGCACGUUAUGUGGGCACUCUAAGGAGACUGCCGGUGGACAAACCGGAGGAAGGUGGGGAUGACGUCAAGUCAUCAUGGCCCUUACGGCCUGGGCUACACACGUGCUACAAUGGUCGGUACAAAGGGUUGCCAAGCCGCGAGGUGGAGCUAAUCCCAUAAAACCGAUCGUAGUCCGGAUCGCAGUCUGCAACUCGACUGCGUGAAGUCGGAAUCGCUAGUAAUCGUGAAUCAGAAUGUCACGGUGAAUACGUUCCCGGGCCUU